GGCCGAGCCGGUGCGCCGCAGACUAGGGCGCCUCGGGCCAGGGAGCGCGGAGGAGCCAUGGCCACCGCUAACGGGGCCGUGGAAAACGGGCAGCCGGACAGGAAGCCGCCGGCCCUGCCGCGCCCCAUCCGCAACCUGGAGGUCAAGUUCACCAAGAUAUUUAUCAACAAUGAAUGGCACGAAUCCAAGAGUGGGAAAAAGUUUGCUACAUGUAACCCUUCAACUCGGGAGCAAAUAUGUGAAGUGGAAGAAGGAGAUAAGGUAAAUACUUAAAAUAAAUUUGCUCUAAGUAAUUCAAUUAUGGAUGACCAAAGGAUAAGGAAACGGUUCGGCUUAGCUAUAAGACAGAACUGGCCUAUCCUGGGGGCAGGGCCUGGGCUAGCUGCGUGAAUUGGCAUGUGGUUCUCAGACGUGUGGCACAGAAUGGCAUCAAUUACCGAUGAUCCUCUGCAGAGAAUCAUUCUCCCUUGAUAGAUGUUUCUCCUACUAUGAGGAUGACCUCAGCUAUCCUCAUCAUAUGGCUAAAGGAAAGGUUUUCUUUUUUCUUUUUUUUUUUUUUUUAUCAAUUAUUUGGACCUGGAGGCAUUAAAGAAUCUUUCCAGAAAGCAUUUCCCGCUGGUGUGUUUCACGAAAUGAAGCUUUCUGGCAGAAGACACUUUAGAAAAAAAUAGACACUUUGAAGGAAAAAAAAUAGUUGCUACCCGGGUGAUGCGGGGAUAGUUAACAAUGUAACCACCAGAUUUCUUUUCUCCUAGAAAUUUACAUGAGCAUGGAAAGCGGUAACCUUUAUCACUCUAUUUGCAAGUGCAAGGUCUAUAUAGUAAUACAGAAGCUAAGGGACUUCCGAAUGUGUCCUUUAUACAUUGCAAGGCCAUCAAAUCUAUUCUGAAUGUCAGUGCAGAGGUAAAGCCCUUCCACUGAGGGCAGGGAGAUGUAAAUGUUUCCUUAGCUGCUGGAGUGCUGGACUGAUGUUCUUGGUCAGCAAACUGAUGACGUUGGAAGUGGAUGCAGUGAAGGGCGUGUGCAGAGUAGGCUUGGAUUUUAUCUUGCCCAUGAGUUUUUGUGACAGACGUGCAAAUGCACACUGGCCCCACCUAUACAGACCCCCCUCUGUGUGGCACCUCAUGACAGUUAGGCUCUGCUAACAAAGAAAGUGGCACAGAGGAGCUCAUAGAAAAAUGUGAGGGCAUUGGGGGGAAGCCAUGACAUGGAAUGGGGUUUCCACUAGGAGACUCCCAAGUGCCCCGUACAGGUGCUAGGAGGAGAACGAGACCCUUGCCCUGGGCCUUGAUUUCUCCCUUGGUCUGAGUGACUGUUCUGAGCCAGAGGCCACCACACCCUCUGCAGCUGGAAAGGUCCUGGCCUCCACCCCAGAGCCUGGGAGAAGAAAUUCAGUGUCCCACAUCUCCCCUGCCAAGCUUCUGCUCACCCCCAAGCCAGCUCUGGACACACAGAGACUCGGUAGAGUCACUCCUGACUGGUGUCCCACAUCCACUCCCUGCUGUACCUUCCUAGAAAGAGAGAGGCAUGGAGGGGCCUUCGAGAUGAAUGUGGCCCAUUUUCCUGAGAAAAAGAGACAGUGACACUACUCUAAAUGGCCCUCACUUCUUUCCUUUUAGAAAGAAGGUUCCGUUGUGAUUAUUCUAUCAGUGCACAAAAGAUCCAGUUCUGCUCCCAUGGGGUGGGUGAGGCUGAAGGGAGAAAAACGGCCUUCAUGCUCCUCCCUGUCUGCGAACUGUUCCACGAUGGUCAGUUCUGCAAUCCAGAAAGGAAGGAAUUUCCCCAUUCUCACUCUUGGACCACAAGUUCCCAGCUGGGAUCAAAUGCCAGGCAGACACUUCCCACCUGAUCUGUGAACAGCAGGCUCGUGUGCGUUCACACUGAGGCAGCCAGUGGAAAGUCCUUCCGUACUUGGGUCCCUGAGAAAAAUACUCUUUAGGAAAUAUUUUUAAAUGCUUUUUAUAAUCAGAAACAAACAUUGGUAUUUGGCCACUGUAGAAAUAUU
rnacentral:lncRNA from 1 species